rnacentral:tRNA from 1 species
AUUAUAUUGGCAGAGAAGUGUAAUGAAUUUAGAAUUCAUGAAUGUGUAUUAACACAUAUAAUA